UGGUCUGUCUGGCGGCAGUCAGGACACCUGUCUUUCCUGGUAGGAAUGAUUUACAGGUGUUUCCUCUGCCGUCACACUCAG
ensembl:miRNA Mir6933 microRNA 6933